rnacentral:rRNA from 1 species
UACGUAGGGUGCAAGCGUUGUCCGGAAUUAUUGGGCGUAAAGAGCUCGUAGGCGGUGUGUCGCGUCUGCUGUGAAAACUCAGGGCUCAACUCUGAGCUUGCAGUGGGUACGGGCACACUAGAGUGCUGUAGGGGAGACUGGAAUUCUCGGUGUAGCGGUGAAAUGCGUAGAUAUCGAGAGGAACACCUGCGGCGAAGGCGGGUUGCUGGGCUGACACUGACGCUGAAACGCGAAAGCUAGGGAGCGAACGGG